rnacentral:rRNA from 1 species
UGCAUAUCCAAAAGCGGAGGAAAAGAAACCAACAGGGAUUGCCUCAGUAACGGCGAGUGAAGCGGCAAAAGCUCAAAUUUGAAAUCUAGCACCUUCGGUGUUUGAGUUGUAAUUUGAAGAUGGUAACCUUGGGUUUGGCUCUUGUCUAUGUUCCUUGGAACAGGACGUCAUAGAGGGUGAGAAUCCCGUCUGAUGAGAUGCCCAUUCCUAUGUAAGGUGCUAUCGAAGAGUCGAGUUGUUUGGGAAUGCAGCUCUAAGUGGGUGGUAAAUUCCAUCUAAAGCUAAAUAUUGGCGAGAGACCGAUAGCGAACAAGUACAGUGAUGGAAAGAUGAAAAGAACUUUGAAAAGAGAGUGAAAAAGUACGUGAAAUUGUUGAAAGGGAAGGGCAUUAGAUCAGACUUGGUGUUUUACGAUUAUCUUCUCUUCUUGAGUUGUGCACUCGUAUUUCACUGGGCCAGCAUCGAUUCGGAUGGCAAGAUAAUGGCAGUUGAAUGUGGCUUCACUUCGGUGGAGUGUUAUAGCUUCUGCUGAUAUUGCCUGUCUGGAUCGAGGGCUGCGUCUUUUGACUAGGAUGCUGGCGUAAUGAUCUAAUGCCGCCCGUCUUGAACCACGGACCA